AGUGCGGUUUAACUACGUUUCGUA
rnacentral:siRNA from 1 species